rnacentral:rRNA from 1 species
UUUAUGGAGAGUUUGAUCCUGGCUCAGGAUGAACGCUGGCGGCGUGCCUAAUACAUGCAAGUCGAGCGAACAGACGAGGAGCUUGCUCCUUUGACGUUAGCGGCGGACGGGUGAGUAACACGUGGGUAACCUGCCUAUAAGACUGGGAUAACUUCGGGAAACCGGAGCUAAUACCGGAUAAUAUUUUGAACCGCAUGGUUCAAAAGUGAAAGAUGGCUCUG